rnacentral:rRNA from 1 species
AUGACAGAGCACGUGGCUGGGGUAAGCCGCGGCUGCAGCGGGGCAGCCGGGUUGGGCGCGGGCGUCGGGCAGGGACGCCGCGGUGAGGGAAGGCGUCCGAGCAGCAGUAGGGGAAAGGCGAGGUCAUGCGAUGUCACGGGUGAGGUGGCUGCAAAUGGGCGUGCCCUGGGUGUGGCGCGCGUGGUCGGCCGCGGCCAGAGGUCCACGGCAGGCGUGGUAGGACGUGUGCGACACAGGCACGAGGUACGGCCAUGGAAGCCUUGCCGGAUGUGGGUGGCUAUGGCGAUGGAACCAAGCGAAGGAAAGGGGGGAGGGGUGGCAGCUUACAGCGGGUGCAGUGAAGGGCUUGAUGGAGACGGGGACGUUGCGGUGGCUGGGGAUCGACCGGCGAUGCGCGCCGACCGCGGGGAGGAAGAAGAUGCGUGCGACGGGGAACAACUCCACGGCUUUGCUCCGAUGGUGUGGGUGACGAAGACGAAGGUGCGAGACGUCCGGGACGCGAUGGUGCAGCACGGGGUGGCUGGUGGCUACGCGGACGGCGACGCCAUGGCUACGGGUGGUUCGGGUUUGUCCAGAUCGACAAGAGGGGCGAGAGAAGGGGGAUCUGGCGUGCUAGGGUUUGCAGGGGGUCGAGAUGACCUUGUAGGACGCCGGUGCAUCGCUCGAUGGCCGGCACGUGUCCGAUCCGUCCAUUGA